rnacentral:lncRNA from 1 species
AAUGCCCCGUUCUGGGGAGAAGAGGCAGGGGCUGCUCGGUUCCACACGCCCCCCCCUUCCUGGUAUGCUUCUCAUGAUGAGGAGAGUGACUGCUUCAGAAGAAAAAAAAAUACAUCAAACGUUUCAUCAUUGUUGUUCAAAACAAAGUACAAAGAUGAAGGCAGAAAGCAUAUGUCAUUUGAAAGAUCUGUCUCCUCUUCUUGGAAUUCGUUAUUCUCUGCAAACAAAACAAGCUUGCAAUUGGAAAUACAGCAGUGCUCCAGUUCAAGCACUGCUUAGAAAGUGCUUGUUAUUUGUUUCUGCUGGUAGCUACAAAACUGUGGUGUACACAGUAGCCCCUUUCCAGGAGAAAACUCUCUCUUUUGCUAACACACGCAAGAGCUAAUUCUGUUUUAACAUCUGAGAUAUCAGUAAUACUUUCCUACAUUAAAAAAAAUGGCAUAAAAUUAUUUCAACAAGCAAUUGCAAAAGGUUGGUUUUUUUUUUUUUUACCCAUUAGUUUCAAGAGAACCGUGUAGCAUCUGUUUACUGCUAUGAAACAGUUCUAACAAUAACUAACACAGUGUGUUUCACAGCAGCCUGCAGACGUCCUUCUCACAGAGCAGGCCUUCCUGCAAGGCUUCAGUGCAGCCCUUCAUGUCUGGGAGGGUCAGUCCCAGGGUAGCAGCACUUUUAAGACGUUUGGCAGCAGUCUGCUUUGCUCCAGCAGUGAGCCGCCAACCACUGCGCGCUGCAAGCCCUCAGGGCUCCACCUAGAUUCCGGCUUCUCACUUUGCAAAAGAUCCGUUAGGAUUGAGCAACGGAGUCCCCCAGGCUUCCAGUAGGGUUUAGGCUCCUGAGGAUGUUUGCAGUCUACAAUGCCAGCAUUCAAAGUUAGACUUGCUCUUGAAGCAAUUCAAACCCAAAUGCUCUGAUGCAUGCAAGAUUUACUCCCUAUCUCACCGAUCUCAGCAGCAGUCCCAGCCUGCAGAUGUUGCAGACUGUGAGUCUUUCUGUGACGGGAUUUCAGCCAGCCCUCUGCAACCUGCAUUUGGGGACACUGUGCAGGAGCAGGGCUGAGCCCACCCCACGCACACCGCAUGGAGGAGAGACCACUGCGGCACUGCAGACGGUGGGUGUUGGAUUGCAUGCACACCAGCAGCUCCUUUUGCAAAUUGGAGGAUGCAAAGCGUGCAUGGAAAUGUACACAGUGUCCUUUCCUCAGCUGCAGACCUGUUUCUCUGGAAGACUUCUACAGCACCGUCUGCAAAGCCAACUUCAUGAGCAUAGGCCUGUGUGCAAUUUGACUGAAUAUCUCUGAAAGUUUGACCUGGAUGUGUUACUAUUUGUUCCUAGUUCAGAAAAGUACUUGGUUAGUAUGUCUACAUGUAAGUUACUUCUAAAUCUGGUCUUGAAAUGCAGCUUGCUUGUGCCAGGGCCUUGAUGCUACCCAUAAUCAUUGACAUUCACUCUGUAUUACUUAUAGAUAGCUAAUAUGUUCCUCGUCUUCUGACCUGUAUUUUUUCAGUAAGUUGUGAAUGUGCAUAUUUAGCCCUAGAAUCAAAGAGGGUAGAUGCCACAUUUAAAAAGCCCCCUAAUUAUAAUUUUCUGUAAAUACACAAUCCAUGCUAAUUUGUAUACUAAGGCAGUGGAGGAGAAAGGUAGGCUAUAUUCACUUUCCGCAGUAAUUUUCUAUUCCGAGUAACUUAAUAUUUACUCAAACGUACUUCAAUUUAUCAUUCUUCUGUCUAGAGAAAAGUGUGUCAUCUAUAGGCUAGUAAAAGUUCCUCCAGUAAUAAACCAUGUCUCUAAAAGGCAUGUGGAUUUUUUUUAGCAAUUUUCACCUAAGGAUUCAGGAUUUAUUAUGCUUUCAUUUUCACCUAAGGAUUCAGGAUUUGUUAUGCUUUCCAUGUACUUUCUUUCAAAACAACUUGUCAUACUUUUUAUAGAAAAGUGAGCAUUUUAUUUUGCUUGUGAGGUGAGUAUAUAUUUCUGCAGAGAGUUCAAAGAAUUGUGCUAUUCCAAUACCGUGAUGUGGUUAUAUAUACAUUUGAGUUAGCUUAUCACACACCAUUAGCAAGACUGCCACACAGAAAAGACAGAACAACUUCAAAAUAAGUCUUUGGAGUGAGAUAUAGAAUUGCAGCUUUGAGUCUAUCAUAAUUUUCUACCUUAUUCAUAUUUGAAAGAAAAUGAGGCAUAAUAAUCAACAGCUUACUCAGUUUACUGCAAUAUUUUAUGUAACAUAUGGUGAGACUGCGUACCGAACUCUAUAUUAAAAUAGCAUUUAUAAGAACUGUUAUCCUGCCAAAAUGAAAGGAAAACAGCCUCCCGGUUUCAUGUUAUUGAAAUCAAUAUCAAUAACGUCUCUACUUUCCAACUUCUGAAUCAUAUAAAGUAU